UCACUUCGAGGUACAUGGGAAACCAUGUGGUAGGUAAAGGGUAAAGUGGAGACAAUGGGAUUUGGCCAAGAUGGUGAGAAUGUCUGUGACAGAUCACAUUGCGAGAAUUCGUAUGAAGCCCAGCCAAAAGCAAGCAUCCCUGUCACGCAGGACAUGUGAUAGUGUCUGAACUCCGUUUCAGCGUUUCUUCGGAUACCAACGGAAGAGUGAAGGGAAUGUAAUUCACUGCAGAUUUGCAAACAAGAGAAACAUUGAUAAUGGGCAGAGUAAACAAGGAGCAGAUGGAGACUCAGAAAGGAAGAGAUCGCUAACACCAUAAUAGCAGCAGCGCAAAUGUAGGACUUUUUAGCAGUGCAAGGAACAAACAGAGAUCAUUUUGAGAACUGAGCUAAGACUUAGUGAUGAGAUAACAGGGAUACAAGGCAGUGUGGCAUCUCUGGCCUAACCAUAAUAACCAGAGUCAUUGCUUUGAUUGGCCGUGAAGCAGUGCUGAACAGCAGGACCUGAUACCAAAGAAGAAAAAAGUUGUCAUGGUGUUAGUUUUUUUCUGUGCUCUCAUUAGCUCGGGCUAAAUGUCGGGCUGGGGAAUGAGUGCAGGGGACCCUCAUCUCAUUUGCAUACAGCAGCGUCCUGACCUUUUUUUU